UACGUAGGGUGCGAGCGUUGUCCGGAAUUAUUGGGCGCAAAGAGCUCGUAGGCGGUUUGUCGCGUCUGCUGUGAAAACCCGAGGCUCAACCUCGGGCCUGCAGUGGGUACGGGCAGACUAGAGUGCGGUAGGGGAGAUUGGAAUUCCUGGUGUAGCGGUGGAAUGCGCAGAUAUCAGGAGGAACACCCGUAGCGAAGGCGGCACUCUGGGCCGAUACUGACACUGAGGAGCGAAAGCGUGGGGAGCGAACAGG
rnacentral:rRNA from 1 species